CCAACUCCUCUCAUUCC
rnacentral:miRNA from 1 species